AAAUGUUGAUGGCCUGUUAUCUGUGCCCCGUGGUCGGAAGCCGCCGUACUUUUAUGAUGGUGCCGAGUAUCUGAGUUU